GACGAACGCUGGCGGCGUGCUUAACACAUGCAAGUCGAACGGAAAGGCCCUGCUUUUUUGCUGUUCUCGAUUGGCGAUCGGGUGAGGAACACGUGUGUAACCUGCCCUUCACUUUCGGAUAGCUUCAGGAAACUGAAGCUACUCCCGGAUAGGAUCUCCUGCUCCAUUGUGGGGGGUGGAAAUUUGAGGCGGGUGUGGAUGGACUCGCGGCUGAUCAGCUUGUUGGUGGGGUAGUUGCUUACCAAGCCUGUGACGGGUAGCCGGCAUGAGAGGGUGAACGGCCACAUUGCGACUGAGAUACGGCCCAGAGUGCUACGGGAGGCAGCAGUGGGGAAUAUUGCACAAUGGGCGGAAGCCUGAUGAGGAAACGCCGCGUGCGGGAUGACGGUCUUCGGGUUGUAAAACGCUUUCGCCUGUGACGAAGCGUGAGUGACGGUAAUGGGUAAAGAAGCACCGGCUAACUACGUG
rnacentral:rRNA from 1 species